rnacentral:rRNA from 1 species
AACGAACGCUGGCGGCAUGCCUAACACAUGCAAGUCGAACGAGACCUUCGGGUGUAGUGGCGCACGGGUGCGUAACGCGUGGGAACCUGCCCUUAUGCUCGGAAUAACUCCCCGAAAGGGGUGCUAAUACCGGAUAAUGUCUUCGGACCAAAGAUUUAUCGCCUUUGGAUGGGCCCGCGUUGUAUUAGCUAGUUGGUAGGGUAAAAGCCUACCAAGGCGACGAUCCAUAGCUGGUCUGAGAGGAUGAUCCGCCACACUGGGACUGAGACACGGCCCAGACUCCUACGGGAGGCAGCAGUGGGGAAUAUUGGACAAUGGGCGAAAGCCUGAUCCAGCAAUGCCGCGUGAGUGAUGAAGGCCUUAGGGUUGUAAAGCUCUUUUACCCGGGAUGAUAAUGACAGUACCGGGAGAAUAAGCUCCGGCUAACUCCGUG